GAUGAAGAACGCAGCGAAAUGCGAUAAGUAAUGUGAAUUGCAGAAUUCAGUGAAUCAUCGAAUCUUUGAACGCACAUUGCGCCCGCCAGUAUUCUGGCGGGCAUGCCUGUUCGAGCGUCAUUGCUGCCCUCAAGCACGGCUUGUGUGUUGGGCCUCCGUCCUCCUCCCGGGGGACCGGCCCGAAAGGCAGCGGCGGCACCGCGUCCGGUCCUCGAGCGUAUGGGGCUUCGUCACCCGCUCUUGUAGGCCCGGCCGGCGCUUGCCGACACAUCAAUCUUUUUUCCAGGUUGACCUCGGAUCAGGUAGGGAUACCCGCUGAACUUAAGCAUAUCAAUAAGCGGAGGA
rnacentral:misc_RNA from 1 species